rnacentral:rRNA from 1 species
AACGAACGCUGGCGGCAUGCCUAACACAUGCAAGUCGAACGAGACCUUCGGGUCUAGUGGCGCACGGGUGCGUAACGCGUGGGAACCUGCCCUUAGGUUCGGAAUAACUCCCCGUAAGGGGUGCUAAUACCGGAUAAUGUCUUCGGACCAAAGAUUUAUCGCCUUUGGAUGGGCCCGCGUUGGAUUCGCUAGUUGGUAGGGUAAAAGCCUACCAAGGCGACGAUCCAGAGCUGGUCUGAGAGGAUGAUCAGCCACACUGGGACUGAGACACGGCCCAGACUCCUACGGGAGGCAGCAGUGGGGAAUAUUGGACAAUGGGCGAAAGCCUGAUCCAGCAAUGCCGCGGGAGUGAUGAAGGCCUUAGGGUUGUAAAGCUCUUUUACCCGGGAUGAUAAUGACAGUACCGGGAGAAUAAGCUCCGGCUAACUCCGUG